ensembl:snRNA U6 U6 spliceosomal RNA
GCUCUCUUCAGUAGCACAUAAGCUAAAAUUGGAGAGAUACAGAGAAGAUUAGCGUGGCCCCUGUUCAAGGAUGACACGCAAAUUCGUGAAGUAUUGCAUUAAAAA